UAAUACGUAGGGGGCAAGCGUUGUCCGGAAUUAUUGGGCGUAAAGCGCGCGCAGGCGGCCUGUUAAGUCUGGUGUUUAAGCCCGGGGCUCAACCCCGGUUCGCAUCGGAAACUGGCAGGCUGGAGUGCAGGAGAGGAAAGCGGAAUUCCACGUGUAGCGGUGAAAUGCGUAGAGAUGUGGAGGAACACCAGUGGCGAAGGCGGCUUUCUGGACUGUAACUGACGCUGAGGCGCGAAAGCGUGGGGAGCAAACAGGAUUAGAUACCCUGGUAGUCCACGCCGUAAACGAUGAGUGCUAGGUGUCGGGGGUUUCGAUACCCGCGGUGCCGAAGUUAACGCAAUAAGCACUCCGCCUGGGGAGUACGCUCGCAAGAGUGAA
rnacentral:rRNA from 1 species